rnacentral:rRNA from 1 species
AGAUUGAACGCUGGCGGCAGGCCUAACACAUGCAAGUCGAGCGGCAGCACGGGUACUUGUACCUGGUGGCGAGCGGCGGACGGGUGAGUAAUGCCUAGGAAUCUGCCUGGUAGUGGGGGAUAACGCUCGGAAACGGACGCUAAUACCGCAUACGUCCUACGGGAGAAAGCAGGGGACCUUCGGGCCUUGCGCUAUCAGAUGAGCCUAGGUCGAUUAGCUAGUUGGUGGGUAAUGGCUCACCAAGGCUACGAUCAGUAGCUGGUCUGAG